rnacentral:rRNA from 1 species
ACUCAAAUGAAUUGACGGGGGCCAGCACAAGCGGUGGAGCAUGUGGUUUAAUUCGAUAAAACGCGCAGAACCUUACCAGUCCUUGACAGUUAAUUCUUUUGCUUGCUUAAUUAGUUUGCAUUUUUGGUUUUUCUACAGAAUUAUUUAUUACAGGUGCUGCAUGGCUGUCGUCAGUUCGUGUUGUGAAAUGUUUGGUUUAGUCCUUUUAACGAACGCAACCCUCGUUCUUGUUGCUCUUGAUUUUUUCUGUUUAAGAUUUUUUCAAGCACUCUCGAAAAUUUUCGGUGAAAACCGAAAGGAAGAGGAUGACGUCAAGUCCUCAUGGCCCUUAUGGACUGGGCUACACAUGUGCUACAAUGGUGAUUACAAAAGGAAGCAAUGAUGCAAAUCGGAGCAAAUCCUCAAAAAUCAUCUUAGUUCGGAUUGUUCUCUGUAACUCGAGAAUAUUAAGCUGGAAUCGCUAGUAAUCGUAGAUCAGCACGCUACGGUGAAUAUGUAAACUGGCCUUGUACACACCGCCCGU